GCUGGGCGUGGUGGCGCACGCCUGUAAUCCCAGCUACUCGGGAGGCAGAGACAGGAGAAUCACUUGAACCCAGGAAGCAGAGGCUGUGGUGAGCGGAGAUUGUGCCACUCUACUACCACCCUGGGUGACAGAGUGAGACUCUGCCUCAA
ensembl:misc_RNA Metazoa_SRP Metazoan signal recognition particle RNA